GCGCCCGAAAAAUACCGGAAGUGCAAAAUGACGCAUGUAUGUAGGCUACUUAAAGAAAAUCCUGUUUUUAGUUUGUGUAAUUGUUGAUUUGAUCACAAACGCUUGUGUAAAAACUUGCCACGCUUGCCAUCGGAGCUGCUUAUCCCUGAAUUAGACACCUACUGUGCCAGGAAGCUACCACAGAAGCGAUUUGAGUACUUUGCCAGGUGCUUAUAUGCCUGUCUGUGGAUGUAUUUUUCGUCAACGUGAUGUAACCAACUGUUACAUAUGUUCAACUCUGUAUAACCCAUGGCUGCAUAAUCCAGGCAGAUCGCAGAGUCUGUCCUCGGCUGUCUCUCCAUUGGCACUGUCACUCCCUCAUUCAGCCGUUCGUCAUCCUGUUGCUGCUCCUCAUCAAUCCCACACUGCCACAAUGGUCUGUGACAGCAGCACUGACAGGCCCAUGACAGGCCUGCCACCCGGACGGCCUGUCCCAGCCAGCCAGCCUACAAUACGGGAGAAGACAAACAGACCUGAACAUGCACAACUCAUUCCUCCUCCCCCCCCCAAACCUUGUUGGCGCCUGGCUGUGUGGCCCAACUCUCUCAAACUCUCCCAACAACACUGUACAAACGCUACAGCGGGGCUUUAGCUACGGCAAUGUCGCUCUGUUGGCCGGUCCACAACUGUGGUCCGGACUGAAACAUCUGUUGGAUGGACUGCCAUGACAUCAGUGUUCAGAUAUUCAUGGUCCCCAGAGGAUGACACCUCCUAACUCCCCUGACUUUCCCUCUAGCGCCACCAUGAGGUUGAUAUUUAUUUGUGGUUUUGAAUAAAAAAGCUCAACUUUUGGAUGGAUUGCCAUGAA